AUGUGGCACAAGGUGCUCUCCAAGUGCCGGUCCACCUCCGUGCCGCCACUCCCAGAUACCCGGUUCCAGACAUGGUGGCUCAGCACCUGUUCUGCCGCGUCCCCAGCCUCUUGUAAAGGGCUCUCGUCGCUGCUACUUCUGGCCGCUUGGCUCCUCUGGAAACAACGCAACAACUGCGUCUUUGGUGGCAUAGUGCCGUCCAUGCAUCGACUGCUCAACCUCAUCCGGUAAGAGGCUCACCUAUGGUCUGGGGCUGGCGCUACUGGCUUGGCCAACAUCAUUCCUGAGUAG
rnacentral:rRNA from 1 species